rnacentral:rRNA from 1 species
AUUGAACGCUGGCGGCAGGCUUAACACAUGCAAGUCGAGCGGAGAUGAGGUGCUUGCACCUUAUCUUAGCGGCGGACGGGUGAGUAAUGCUUAGGAAUCUGCCUAUUAGUGGGGGACAACAUUCCGAAAGGAAUGCUAAUACCGCAUACGCCCUACGGGGGAAAGCAGGGGAUCUUCGGACCUUGCGCUAAUAGAUGAGCCUAAGUCGGAUUAGCUAGUUGGUGGGGUAAAGGCCUACCAAGGCGACGAUCUGUAGCGGGUCUGAGAGGAUGAUGCGCCACACUGGGACUGAGACACGGACGAGACUCCGACGGGAGGCAGCAGUGGGGAAUAUUGGACAAUGGGGGGAAGCCUGAUCCAGCCAUGCCGCGUGUGUGAAGAAGGCCUUUUGGUUGUAAAGCACUUUAAGCGAGGAGGAGGCUACCUGGAUUAAUACUCUAGGAUAGUGGACGUUACUCGCAGAAUAAGCACCGGCUACUCUGUGCCAGCAGCCGCCGUAACAC